GCUUACGGCCAUACCACCCUGAACACGCCCGAUCUCGUUCUGAUCUCGGAAGCUAAGCAGGUCUGGGCCUGGUUAGUACUUGGAUGGGAGACCGCCUGGGAAUACCAGGUGCUGUAAGCU